rnacentral:ncRNA from 1 species
AGGUUUGUGGAUUAAAUUCCGCAAUUAAAAGGGAAUGUGGUGCUGGAAUAAUUUAGCGAAGCCACAACUGCCCUCGCAACUGUAAGCGGGUAGUUCUUCUAUGAAAAUACCACUGAGGUUUUGGCUUUGGGAAGGUGAAUAGAAGGGUGCUGGAUCCGUAAGUCAGGAGACCUGCCUUGUAGG